CCUCAGCCUGCCCUUGUGACUGGAAAAAGCGGGGUCAGCUCAUCAAAGCAGAACAGGGUUGUUAGCUAGCUUUCCUCUUUCAGAGGGUUAUAUUAAGAAGGCGUGGCUCAGGGAGGGGGUUACUGGCCCUGGCUGGCCCCAGCCAGAAAGUUGCGGGGGUGGGGUUUGCUAGAGCAGGCAGAUGCCUGCCAGGGCCAGGGAGAGCUUUCUGAGAGGGUGGUGAGAGACUGGAGAGGUGGGAGAGGGGUAGCUAUGAAAGGAAAAUGUGUGGAGGUGACAUGGUCUGUAGGUUGGGCCAGGCCAGAAGAGAAGGUCAAAGAGAAAUGAGUGUUCCAGUCAGGCUUGAUGUCUUAGGGAAGAUCCUGGGGCCCAGCCCACUGCCCCCUCCUCUCCGUCUCUCCUGCUCCCGGGGCUGAGGGAAUGGAAGGAGCUGUGCCACUGUGAGGAGGAGGACCUGCAUCUGUGAGGGGCCUGCUGGGACCAGCUGCUGGGGAGUACAGCUUUCUCUCAGUAGCUGAAGGGGGCUGCCUCUUUUCCAAGGGGCAGCUGCCACGCCACCGCAGGAAAAUCUGGCUUGCCAUUUUGGAUACCUGGAUUUUCCCACAGUGUGAGGGGGCUGGGGGUGUGGCCCAGGAAGGUGCACCUGAGGUGGGAGAAGAAAGAAGAAGACUGGAUGGGAGUCAGCUGAAUUGGGGGCCGCAGAGGCUGGGGUGAGAGGGAGGGAAGGAGGUGUCAAAGCUCAGCCUCCCAAAGCUGAGCGAGAAGAGCAUGACGGGAGGGUGUUUCCCACCUCCUCGCCCACUCCAGCGCAGGGUCCUGUCUCCGUCCAAACGCUGCAAGCCUUUCCACAUUCCUGCACUACCUUCCUGCGCUGCCUUUGGAGAUCUGAGAGUCUUCAGGCAUGAACUCUGGGAAAGACUAAAGGGCUGUUGCUCU
rnacentral:lncRNA from 1 species